GACGUAGGGCGCGAGCGUUGUCCGGAUUUGUUGGGCGUAAAGAGCUCGUCGGCGGCUUGUCGCGUCAACUGUGAAAACCCGUGGCUCAACCAUGUGGUCUGCAGUCGAUACGGGCAGGCUAGAAUUCGGUAGGGGAGACUGGAAUUCCUGGUGUAGCGGUGAAAUGCGCAGAUAUCAGGAGGAACACCGAUGGCGAAGGCAGUUCUCUGGGCCGUAACUGACGCUGAGGAGCGAAAGCGUGGGGAGCGAACAGG
rnacentral:rRNA from 1 species